CUACGGGGGGCUCCAGUAAGGAAUAUUGCGCAAUGGAGGCAACUCUGACGCAGACAUGCCGCGUGCAGGACUGCAGGCCUUAUGGGUCGUAAACUGCUUUUAUUUAGGAAUAAACUCUUGUACGUGUACGAGACUGAAGGUACUAAAUGAAUAAGCACCGGCUAACUCCGUGCCAGCAGCCGCGGUAAUACGGAGGGUGCAAGCGUUAUCCGGAUUUAUUGGGUUUAAAGGGUGCGCAGGCGGACUAUUAAGUCAGAGGUGAAAUCCCGGAGCUCAACUUCGGAACUGCCUUUGAUACUGGUAGUCUUGAAUACGGUUGAAGUAGGCGGAAUGUAGCAUGUAGCGGUGAAAUGCAUAGAGAUGCUACAGAACACCGAUCGCGAAGGCAGCUUACUAAGCCGUUAUUGACGCUCAGGCACGAAAGCGUUGGGGGCGAACAGGAUUAGAUACCCCAGUAGUC
rnacentral:rRNA from 1 species